rnacentral:rRNA from 1 species
GAUGAAUGCUGGCGGCGUGCCUAAUACAUGCAAGUCGAGCGAACAGACGAGGAGCUUGCUCCUCUGACGUUAGCGGCGGACGGGUGAGUAACACGUGGAUAACCUACCUAUAAGACUGGGAUAACUUCGGGAAACCGGAGCUAAUACCGGAUAAUAUAUUGAACCGCAUGGUUCAAUAGUGAAAGACGGUUUUGCUGUCACUUAUAGAUGGAUCCACGCCGCAUUAGCUAGUUGGUAAGGUAACGGCUUACCAAGGCAACGAUGCGUAGCCGACCUGAGAGGGUGAUCGGCCACACUGGAACUGAGACACGGUCCAGACUCCUACGGGAGGCAGCAGUAGGGAAUCUUCCGCAAUGGGCGAAAGCCUGACGGAGCAACGCCGCGUGAGUGAUGAAGGUCUUCGGAUCGUAAAACUCUGUUAUUAGGGAAGAACAAAUGUGUAAGUAACUAUGCACGUCUUGACGGUACCUAAUCAGAAAGCCACGGCUAACUACGUG